AUAAUGAACAGGUAUUGGUCUUUGAGGUC
rnacentral:piRNA from 1 species